rnacentral:lncRNA from 1 species
UCCUUCCCCCAGGCAUCUUGGGUCCUCCAUCAUUUUUCCUGACAGGAGCUGUGGGCGUCUGGGCAGAUGGGAACCUCGGGGAGGUGUGGGGAGCCCCCUCCAAAUCAGGAAGCUCCCACGCAACUGUAGUUAAAAUACUCCAGCAGUGACUUGGGGCAGCCAUCUGAAGGAGACAGACUUGGCCACAGAGGAAACCAGAGACUGUUAUAAAUAGCAAGGAAGGCAGAGAGCUGCCCAUGGAUUUCAAACAUCCAUCACUCCUAAAACAAACUCUAUUUUUGGCUUCAAAUAAUA